UCUCCUGGAAACGGGUGGUAAUGCCGGAUGUUCCACAUGAGCGCAUGCGAGUGUGGGAAAGGCUUUUUGCGGCAUGGGAUGGGGUCGCGUCCUAUCAGCUUGUUGGUGGGGUAACGGCCUACCAAGGCGUUGACGGGUAGCCGGCCUGAGAGGGCGACCGGCCACAUUGGGACUGAGAUACGGCCCAGACUCCUACGGGAGGCAGCAGUGGGGAAUAUUGCACAAUGGGCGCAAGCCUGAUGCAGCGACGCCGCGUGCGGGACGGAGGCCUUCGGGUUGUAAACCGCUUUUGUUCAAGGGCAAGGCACGGUUUCGGCCGUGUUGAGUGGAUUGUUCGAAUAAGCACCGGCUAACUACGUGCCAGCAGCCGCGGUAAUACGUAGGGUGCAAGCGUUAUCCGGAUUUAUUGGGCGUAAAGGGCUCGUAGGCGGUUCGUCGCGUCCGGUGUGAAAGUCCAUCGCUUAACGGUGGAUCCGCGCCGGGUACGGGCGGGCUUGAGUGCGGUAGGGGAGACUGGAAUUCCCGGUGUAACGGUGGAAUGGUGUAGAUUAUCGGGAAGAAACACCA
rnacentral:rRNA from 1 species